rnacentral:rRNA from 1 species
UAGUCCACGCCCUAAACGAUGCUUACUCGAUAUUCCGGCUUUAAGUUGGAGUGUCCAAGGGAAACCGAUAAGUAAGCCACCUGGGGAGUACGUUCGCAAGAAUGAAACUCAAAGGAAUUGACGGGGGUCCGCACAAGCGGUGGAGCAUGUGAUUUAAUUCGAUGAUACGCGAGGAACCUUACCAGGGCUUAAAUGUAGAUUGACAGGUUUAGAGAUAGACUUUUCUUCGGACAAUUUACAAGGUGCUGCAUGGUUGUCGUCAGCUCGUGCCGUGAGGUGUCAGGUUAAGUCCUAUAACGAGCGCAACCCCUGUUGUUAGUUGCCAGCACGUAAUGGUGGGGACUCUAAGGAGACUGCCGGCGUAAGCCGUGAGGAAGGUGGGGACGACGUCAAGUCAUCAUGGCCUUUAUGCCCAGGGCUACACACGUGCUACAAUGGUGCAUACAGAGGGCAGCGACACUGCGAAGUGAAGCGAAUCUCAGAAAGUGCAUCUCAGUUCGGAUCGG